GGCUCAGCGAUCGGGUCUUCCUUAACUGGUUGCACUCGAGCCGCUUUGCCUUAUCUUCUAGACACACGUCUCAGCAGACGUGCGGCUCUAGGACUUUUACUGUGAAUAAAUUAGAGUGUUCAAAGCAGGCAAUCGCUUGAAUACGUUAGCAUGGAAUAAUAGAAUAGGACGUGUGGUUCUAUUUUGUUGGUUUCUAGAAUCGCCGUA
rnacentral:rRNA from 1 species